GAUAUAUUACCUCCGUCCCAAAUUAGUUGUCUUAGAUUUGUCUAGAUACGGAUGUACCUACCACUAAAACGUGUCUAGAUACAUCCGUAUCUAGACAAAUCCAAGACAACUAAUUCGGGACGGAGGAAGUAUGAU
rfam:Triticum aestivum genome assembly, contig: Triticum_aestivum_CS42_TGACv1_scaffold_132515_2BL